rnacentral:rRNA from 1 species
GACGAACGCUGGCGGCGUGCCUAAUACAUGCAAGUCGAGCGGGCCUCCGGAGGUGCUUGCACCUCCGGACGGCCAGCGGCGGACGGGUGAGUAACACGUGGGCAACCUGCCUUUGAGGCCGGGAUAACACCGGGAAACCGGUGCUAAUACCGGAUACGUCCUCUUUCGCGCCUGCGAGAGGGGAGAAAGACGGUCUUUAAGGCCGUCGCUCAAAGAGGGGCCCGCGGCGCAUUAGCUGGUUGGUGGGGAAAGGGCCUACCAAGGCGACGAUGCGUUGCCGACCUGAGAGGGUGAUCGGCCACACUGGGACUGAGACACGGCCCAGACUCCUGCGGGAGGCAGCAGUAGGGAAUCAUCCGCAAUGGGCGAAAGCCUGACGGUGCAACGCCGCGUGAGUGAGGAAGGUUUUCGGAUCGUAAAGCUCUGUUCUGAGGGAAGAACAGCAUCCGGAGGAAAUGCCGGAGGUUUGCCGGUACCUCACCAGAAAGCCCCGGCUAACUACGUGCCAGCCGCCGCCGUAAAAC